GUCCUAGCCGUAAACGAUGGACACUAGGUGUUGGUGGUAUCAACCCCGCCAGUGCCGAAGCUAACGCAUUAAGUGUCCCGCCUGGGGAGUACGGCCGCAAGGCUAAAACUCAAAGGAAUUGACGGGGGCCCGCACAAGCAGCGGAGCGUGGGGUUUAAUUCGACGCAACGCGAAGAACCUUACCAAGGCUUGACAUGACCAGGACAGCGGCGGAAACGUCGUCUUCCCGCAAGGGACCUGGCCACAGGUGUUGCAUGGCUGUCGU
rnacentral:rRNA from 1 species